CUCCCCCAGAUCUGCGACACUCCGCCUCACCUGCUCACCACGAUACUCGAUGAUCAUUUCUCCCUCUUGAAUGUUACGGCGUGCAAAGAGACCCCAUCCAUGUAUGCCAGAUUUACCAAAACAAACCCGGUGAUUUUCAGUUUUCUGCAAAUGGUAAAGCCGUUCCUUAAAUGAAGAGAAAACAGUAGAAUCUUCUAUUUCUUUAAAGGUGCUCAAGCUACUAAUUGAAUCUAAAGAAUGAUGUCUUGGUCUCAUCAGUCGGUGGUAUAGUGGCUCCCGUUCAGCCUUAUUGUAUGAUCUUUUAAAAGCACGGCAUCUCACAGCAGAGAGAGGCUCAUACUUAUUAGUCUCUGAGGUAGAGGGUUCAGGAAGUUCCAUUCUCUUAGAUGAAACCAACCUUGAACCACUGAAACACCCAUUCUGGUUCUGAAGCAAGCUCCUGGCAGCAAAAACCCCUGAAGCAGUACGCACAACUACAACAGAAUCUGGACUUGGUGUCCUGUGAAC
rnacentral:misc_RNA from 1 species